rnacentral:rRNA from 1 species
GAUGAACGCUGGCGGCGUGCCUAAUACAUGCAAGUCGAGCGAACAGACGAGGAGCUUGCUCCUUCGACGUAAGCGGCGGACGGGUGAGUAACACGUAGGUAACCUACCUAUAAGACUGUGAUAACUUCGGGAAACCGGAGCUAAUACCGGAUAAUAUUUCGAACCGCAUGGUUCGAUAGUGAAAGAUGGCUUUGCUAUCACUUAUAGAUGGACCUGCGCCGUAUUAGCUAGUUGGUAAGGUAACGGCUUACCAAGGCAACGAUACGUAGCCGACCUGAGAGGGUGAUCGGCCACCCUGGAACUGAGACACGGUCCAGACUCCUACGGGAGGCAGCAGUAGGGAAUCUUCCGCGAUGGGCGAAAGCCUGACGGAGCAACGCCGCGUGAGUGAUGAAGGUCUUCGGAUCGUAAAACUCUGUUAUUAGGGAAGAACAAACGUGUAAGUAACUGUGCACGUCUUGACGGUACCUAAUCAGAAAGCCACGGCUAACUACGUG